CUACGGGGUGCAGCAGUGGGGAAUAUUGGACAAUGGGGGAAACCCUGAUCCAGCAAUGCCGCGUGUGUGAAGAAGGCCUGCGGGUUGUAAAGCACUUUCGGUUGGGAGGACUGCUUCUAGCACUAAUAUUGUUGGAAGUUGACGUUACCCUCAGAAGAAGCACCGGCUAACUCCGUGCCAGCAGCCGCGGUAAUACGGAGGGUGCAAGCGUGAAUCGGAAUUACUGGGCGUAAAGCGCGCGUAGGCGGCUAGAUCAGUCGGGUGUGAAAGCCCCGGGCUUAACCUGGGAACUGCAUCCGAUACUGUCUAGCUUGAGUACAGGAGAGGAGAGUGGAAUUCCACAUGUAGCGGUGAAAUGCGUAGAUAUGUGGAGGAACACCAAUGGCGAAGGCAGCUCUCUGGCCUGAUACUGACGCUGAGGUGCGAAAGCGUGGGGAGCAAACAGGAUUAGAUACCCUAGUAGUC
rnacentral:rRNA from 1 species